UGGUGGAGUAAUUUGUCUGGUUAAUUCCGUUAACGAACGAGACCUUAACCUAUUAAAUAGUAAUAGUAACCCAGGCUCUUCUUCUCUGUCUCAGCAAUGGGGUGGAGGAAACCAUUUGUCGGCAUCUCUUCGGAGGUGCUGUGUGAGUGGUGAGGGUCUGAUAGUGUUUUAGUGACUUCUUAGAGGGACUCUUUGCAUCUUUAGCAAGUGGAAGUUUGAGGCAAAAACA
rnacentral:rRNA from 1 species